GGAAGAUGUUGGCGCCGAGGAUGUAGAGCUGGCUGUUCCCGACGGCGCGUCUGACGCUAAGUCCUGAGCAACCUGAAAGCCCAGAGAGACCUCCAUUCUCCUGCUGCCUGUUUUCUACCUCCAUCCAACUCCUGAAGCAUGUAGGACUCAGAACACCAGCUUGAACAUGGCACCACCCACAAUGAUCACCACCUCCAUUGAUCACUAAUUGAGAAAAUGCCUUACAACUGGAUCUCAUGGAAAUAUUUCCUCAACUGAGGUUCCUUUGUCUUUGAUGACCUUGUGUCAAACUGACACAUAAAAUCAGCCAGUACAACUGCUCAAGAUAUUAAAGAGCUAUUGACAUAUAGGGAAAAUAAAAUGUAAUUGCACAUGCCUAGGCAAAGUGCAGACAUAAGACAUGUCAGAGAGGACUACGUUUACACCUCAGAUUGACACAGUCUCCAAGAGAAGCAAUGAACUCUUAGAAACAUCAAUACAUGGGGAAGAAUAUGAUUUGUAGCAUUGAUACAAUGCUUGCUUCAAAUGUUCAGUAUUCUACAAUAAUGGCAACAAAAGAUAAAAAGAAAUAGCCAGUAUGAGAGGCUUAUUUAAAAAGGAAAAAAAUGAGCUUUCUCCAAAAAAAAUGACUGAUAACAUACAUAUUAGGCAAAACUGUGAAGGAAUAUCUUAGAACUGAUUUUAAAAGAACUAAGAGAAGAUAUGGAGAAAAUUUUAAAAUGAUAUGAACAUUCAGGCUAUGCUAAUAAAACAAUUUUAAGAAAGGAAAAAUUAUAAUCUGGAGCUGAAGAAGUAUAUUUCAGAACAUGUAGGCAGAUACUAGCAGGCAUAAAGAAGACUUAGAAUUUAGAUACAGCACACUGAAGAGUGGUGAGCAUGAAGAACAUAAAAAUAACUGAAGAAAUGAGAGGAGUGUAUGGGUCUGUUGGAAAACAUCAAAAGUACCAACACACAUAUUUUUGGAAAUCAGAGAAGGGAGGGAGAAGAAACAGAGAAAAUGUUUGCAUAAAUAAUGGCUAACAGCCUUUUGAUGAAAAGUCACAGCA